GGUUUUAUGUAUUUAUUAAAUAGUGUUGAAAAAAAAUAGUAAACAAUAAAGUUAGCUUGCACGUGUCCCUAGAAAGAAACCCUAUUUCUUUAUCCCUCUUCAAUCUUUACAUUUAGAAGACUUUUACAAAAAAAAUUAGCCGUUUCUUCUUCUUCUUCUUCUCCAAGACGACGAACCACCUCCUGCGCACGAACCACCUCCGAGACGACGAAGCCGCGGCCAUCCCUAGCCUCCCAAGGCCAAUCAACGACGGACGAGAGACUAACCAAAACCCCAAGCGAUCUUCUGCCUCAUCGAACAUCGUAACCUUCUCCUUCGACAUUAUUGACCUGCGGGCCUUCCUUUCUUGCAUCCUAAUCGCUGUUUUAAGAGGCGGUCAACAGCGGCUCUAGGUUCGUCCAAGAUUAUGAUUCCAAGUUGGCGGUGGAUGACAGCUUUCCGUUUGUGAAUGGAGCUUCAUGAUUCGUUGUUUAAGUGGACUGGAAUUAUGAUCUGAUUUGUCUUUUUUAUGUUUAGGUUUCUAAUAUUUUUAGACAUGUUUAUUCCCAUUUCUUGCUUUUAUUUUCAUUUGAGUGUUCAUACCCACUUCUCACUGUAUUAUAAAUAUUACAGUUAAAUUUUUUUUUACUGUAUUUGUUAUCCACUAUUUUUUAUGAAUAUUUUAGUUUAAAUUUGUGUUUAAUAUUGUAAUAGAUUUUAAUUUGUUUCUGUUAAAAUAGAAUGUAAUAAUAAUUAAA